rnacentral:rRNA from 1 species
UACGAAGGGGGCUAGCGUUGUUCGGAAUUACUGGGCGUAAAGGGCGCGUAGGCGGCCUGCUAAGUCGAACGUGAAAUCCCCGGGCUUAACCCGGGAACUGCGUCCGAUACUGGCUGGCUUGAAUCCGGGAGAGGGAUGCGGAAUUCCAGGUGUAGCGGUGAAAUGCGUAGAUAUCUGGAGGAACACCGGUGGCGAAGGCGGCAUCCUGGACCGGUAUUGACGCUGAUGCGCGAAAGCCAGGGGAGCAAACGGG